rnacentral:misc_RNA from 1 species
AAAUCAAGUGUGAGAGUAAGACAAUCAUGGUACAUUUUAUAAAGAAAGAUAGGGGGAAGGAUAGUACUUGAAAAGAAUGAUUCAACUCAGUCCAUUUUAUGACAGGGUAGCGCGUCAUUGUUUGAAAACAAAACUCAUAAGAUCAAAAAAAUUGCUGCAAUAAGUGCAAUACCAAAGGAUACCCUUGUGGUUGUUGCAUCAGAAGCAUCAGCAGGGGUAUCAUCAGAAGUUGUUGCGGGUGUUUUUGCAGGAAUGACCUUGUCAAGCUUUGAAGGUGCAGGAGCUGGCGCUGUAGGUGCAGCGAAAAGGUCUAAUGGAAGGAGGACCUCUUGAUAAACAGCUAACUGCCCAUCUGUAUAUAUAGUGUUAGCCACAGUUGCAGUAUUAACACCUGUUGUUACAUUCACUUGAUUUCCUGAUGUUGUCACAUUUAAUGGGAACUCACCAUUAGCGCUAUUACCUGCCUGCGUACGCAAAGGAUUACUCACAGUUUGAAACUGUGACAUGGAUAUAAAACUAGGAAGGAUGUGAAAUUGCACCAAUUGGACUUUUUCCUGGUCUGAAAGAGAGUUUAGUGUGCCUGCUUUGAGAUUAGCGAAGGCAUUAUCAGGUGGUGCAAAUAUUGUAAGGCCUUGAUUUGAAUUGUUGAGUUGUGUGUUGAUUUGGUCAGCUUCCUGAGUACUUUUCAUUAUCUUAAUAAAGGUUGUGAACUGACCAGCCUUUUCAAGGACUGCUGUGAUGUUGGUUGGACCUGAUGGGGCUGGGGAAGGAGUUUGAGCAGAAGAAGUUGAGCAAUAGAGGAAGAAGAACAUCAAGAAAAG